ensembl:lncRNA
UGUAAACCUUUGUGUUGACAGUGUUGGGUGCUUGAAAACUGUAUUGAAAAGAAAAGCUCUGAAGUUCAAGGCUUCUAGCAGAGAACCAAGAGGAUGAGCAUAGAUCAUAUGAUCAAAAAAACGUUUAAAGGAUAUACAUUUAAUUUUGGGGUGUAAACUGUCCCUUUAAGACUUAUUUAAGUGAGCUGUACUGUUACUUUUCUAGGUGAUUAGAGUUAUAAUUUACGCACAGGAGAUUCAAACAUCAGGAACAACCAUCAGCCAUAUCCAGAGAUCAGAGUACCAUGGAGACUUGGACUCUUGAUUUUUGGAUCAGUAAGCAACCACGCAAAACACCUCAGCAACCACAAAGCAACACCCUGGCAUAUUAGCAAGCUGGCAGUGCUUUGUACAUCCCAGCAACUGACCUGAGUGAGGGACCUGUUUGUGUGCCAUGAGAACAAUGGAACAAAAGCUACAUCCCCAGCCCCCAACCAAAAGCGGCAGAAAGCAAGGGUAAAACAUCACCUUGUGUUGCUGGUGUUGGGUUCCAUAAAUUAGACAAUGCUGGGUUUUAUUGCUGAGGCCC